CGGAGAUUAGCGCAAUUGGUAGCGCACACGGUUUGGGACCGUGGGGUUGCGAGUUCGAGUCCCGCAUCUCCGACCA
rnacentral:tRNA from 1 species